GCAGGUGAUUCUUCACCGCCAGAGCCACCAGAGAAGCCCUUGGAUGAGAAUAAGGACUUGUUACAGAAUAACCCGUAUAGCAGUGAGCCAUAUAUCAUGUGUAACUUACAUGACCCUUGGUCAGGCCGAGGGUUGAGUUCACUGCCCUUGGCUGGCUCCUGGAUCUCCACGUAUAAAAUUGGACAUGCUACCCACCAGUGCUUGCCUUGCUGCUUAUUUUAGAGCAGGCCUCUCCAAAGUUUGCUGGUCAUGUAUUUUAUCAGUAAAAAAAUUUUAAGUGCAUGUGUGUAUAUUUAUAAAAUAUUUAUGCUAUUGUAUAUAAAUGCCGUAUGUAACAAAAAUGUAUAGUUAUUACUUGUAAAUAAAAUUCAUGUGCUCUCA